rnacentral:lncRNA from 12 species
AUUUUUCUGAAGUCCAAUUGUNNNNNNNNNNACAGCUCUCCAGGCCGCCUUUCCGGAAGCGGCUUGGGCCCCCCAGCGCCGGCGCGGCCCGGUGGCCCUGACCCCCGGCAGGUCGUCAGCAGACCCAGGCCCAACCCGAAGUGCACCCCGGCAGCUCCCGCCGGGCACCCAGCAGGCCCAGCUUCGCCGGUGGACCUGGGUGGCCCCCUGCGCUGGCAGGGCCGGCCCUUACCACACUCGCACCGCCUCCCCGGUUAGGAUCGGCUCCGUGAUGCCUUGGAUCCGUGCCAGCUCCUGCCUGAGGCCCCUGGGCCUGGCUGGCCGGGCGGCGUGGGCAGGCCCUCUCUCCUCAUUUAAUGGGCUCCUUGACAUUGAUCGGCCCCCCACUGUUUUGCAGGCACCGUCCUGGAUGUGAGUCGGGGGUCAGGAUGUGGGUUUCCACCCAGGUUACUGCUUCUGGGUCGGCCGACGAGAAGCUCGGGCAUCGGCCCGGCCGGUGGAGGGCCCUGCUCCCACCCACCCCCGCCAAGCUGCCCCCUGGAGCCCCGCCACCGUGCCUGGGGAGAGAGGAGGAGACAAGAGCCAGAGGAGGGGGCAGCACCGGAGCCACUCUCACCGAGGGAAGGCUCGUCAAGGAGGACAGGCACAGAGCACUGAGGCGGAGGGGCCAGGCCGCGGGGGAUCUUCUCGGAGGCUUUGGAUACCCUGUGCAUGGCUUCGGGACACCGGCCCCGCGGUUCUCUUCCCAGAGAACAGAGAAGGAGUGGGCUGUGGUUGCAAACCGGGGAUUCACUCCACAGACUCGUGCACGCUAGGGAAGGAUCCAAGACGUGUCUUGGCAAGCCAGGUCUGGCAGUGUGACGUACAGGGAGUUGGAGGGGGAGAGAAACUGUUGGUGGAGAGAUCAUUCUGGAGAUUUUCCUUUUAUAAUUCUUCCAUAUGUAAGAAUAACCCCAGCGACCCCACGGAAGGAUGA